rnacentral:rRNA from 1 species
UGGGGAAUCUUAGACAAUGGGGGAAACCCUGAUCUAGCCAUGCCGCGUGGACGAUGAAGGCCUUAGGGUUGUAAAGUCCUUUCAGCUGGGAAGAUAAUGACGGUACCAGCAGAAGAAGCCCCGGCUAACUCCGUGCCAGCAGCCGCGGUAAUACGGAGGGGGCUAGCGUGGUUCGGAAUUACUGGGCGUAAAGCGCACGUAGGCGGAUUGAAAAGUUGGGGGUGAAAUCCCAGGGCUCAACCCUGGAACUGCCUUCAAAACUAUCAGUCUAGAGUUCGAGAGAGGUGAGUGGAAUUCCGAGUGUAGAGGUGAAAUUCGUAGAUAUUCGGAGGAACACCAGUGGCGAAGGCGGCUCACUGGCUCGAUACUGACGCUGAGGUGCGAAAGCGUGGGGAGCAAACA